rnacentral:rRNA from 1 species
UACCAGCACCCCGAGUGGUCGGGACGAUUAUUGGGCCUAAAGCAUCCGUAGCCGGCCUUACAAGUCCUCCGUUAAAUCCAGCUGCUUAACAGAUGGGCUGCGGAGGAUACUAUAAGACUAGGAGGCAGGAGAGGCAAGCGGUACUCAUUGGGUAGGGGUAAAAUCCGUUGAUCCAUUGAAGACCACCAGUGGCGAAGGCGGCUUGCCAGAAUGCGCUCGACGGUGAGGGAUGAAAGCUGGGGGAGCAAACCGG